rnacentral:misc_RNA from 1 species
ACAGAGGCAGUCUUUGAUACUCCCAAAAUCUUGUACCAAUCUUGCCGUUUGCUCAUCUUUAAGGCUUUCUCUGCUCGCAUUAAUGUUUCCCGUAUAUUCACGUCCUGCAAAUGUUCACAAAAAUGUAGGUAAAGGGAAAAAAAAACCAAAGUACCUUCAAGAGACAAUAAUUUAUAUACCACUGAUACAUUUUUCUUUGAUUUUAUACAGUCCUUCAUAAAAAUAAUGCAACUUGCACCAGUAGAAUUUACAGUUUAGUUUACAUUCAAACAUUAGGAGGAAGUUUCCCAUUCUCAAUGAUUUUACAAGAAGAAACAAAAACUCACUAGAAGGGCAUAAUCCAUUUUGAAGUUUGAGGCACAAUGUGACUUAGUUUCCGGUAAUAACCAUUUUAUUGAUUUUAUUGCUAGCAGGCCUUCAAAAGCGAAUAUAAGAGAAAUAAUAUGACCUCCCACAGUUAUUUAAGUACUCUCCUCAGUCCUCACCCACUGGAUAUCCAAUGUUUAAUAAUUUGGGAGUAAUAUUUGCUAAUUUAGUUAUUUUGAUCUCUGCUUGAUCUUCGGAAAAAUUGUGUUAUGGACGCAUUGUGGGACCCCUUGGCAAAGCUAGUUGAAUUUUUGAGAUUUACUUUCUAUUAUUAUUGGAUAUUAAUUAUUGUUUUAAUUAAGAGUUAUUUCCUUUUCAGAAUUGUAAUCCCUCUUAUAUAGGGAUUGCUCUUAUUUUAGGAGUUCUAAUUCUAGUAGAAUUCAAAUAAAUCUUGUGUAAACGUCUCUUAUAAAAGGGGUCAAUUGAAUUAAUAAAAUUAAGCAAAAUUAUUUUCAACUAAAUUGAAACCUAGACUCUCUUCUCCAACAAGUCUAAAGUUAUAGCUCCCUUUUAACGGGCUCAUGUUUUCAGCAACAAUAGGUCAAGGAAAGAAUCAAGGUAAAGCAAAAGUUUCAAUUUUUGAAUCAGAUUUCAUUAUUAAUAGGCUUGUGACUAAAUCCUGAGCGAGAAAUCAUAACAAAUUGUCAUCAAUUUCUACUCCAAAGUUUUUACAUGUGCUGAUUUUUAAGCUCAAAAUAGAUUCAAAUAAAAUGCAGUGAAACACAAGCACUUCUAAGAUAACAUACAACAUAAAAACGCAAUACAUAAUCAAAGGAUUUAAUGUUUACAGCUAUUAUGAAAUCUUUCAUUUUUUGACCCUCACAAUAUGGGGAGCCUGGUACACUAGGGACGCCCUUUUAUUCAUCAAAUUCACCGUAAAAUGAUAAGAAAAACAAUGCACUCACCAUAUACAUUUUAAUCACUAUUAUAUUGACUUAAAAACUAGUUUCUGCAAAACUGGUUUAUAAUUUAAAAGUGAUGCUAUAUUUUUUAGCUAUGGAAAGGUUGCUAUCACAACUAAAAUUACAGGUGUUAGAUGCAACAAAUUACAGAUUUUUAAGUGCCAAAUUAGCAUCCCACGACAUGAUCCUGGUAUCAGACUUUAAUGAACCUCAAAUGAACUCUGUAUUGGGACUAACCUGAGGUGAUUUCUCAGCUGCUGAUUUGAGAUCUUGAACAGCUCCUUCCCAGUCCUCUAUUAAGAGUUUAGCUUCACCCCUCUGCACUAAAGCUUCAAGUAGAUCCCCAUCAAUGUUAAGUGCUUCAGUGCAGCUA